rnacentral:rRNA from 1 species
CCUACGGGUGGCAGCAGUGAGGAAUAUUGGUCAAUGGGCGCGAGCCUGAACCAGCCAAGUCGCGUGAGGGAAGACGGUCCUAUGGAUUGUAAACCUCUUUUGUCGGGGAGCAAAAGACGCCAUGCGUGGCGUUCCGAGAGUACCCGAAGAAAAAACAUCGGCUAACUCCGGGCCAGCAGCCGCGGCUAGACGGAGGAAGCGAGCGUUAUCCGGAUUUUUUGGGUUUAAAGGGUGCGCAGGCGGAAGAUCAAGUCAGCGGUAAAAUUGUGGGGCUCAACCCCGGCGAGCCGUUGAAACUGGGGGGCUGGAGUGGGAGAGAAGUACGCGGAAUGCGCGGUGUAGCGGUGAAAUGCUUAGAUAUCGCGCAGAACCCCGAUUGCGAAGGCAGCGUACCGGCUCCACACUGACGCUGAGGCACGAAAGCGUGGGUAUCGAACAGGAUUAGAUACCCGGGUAGUC